rnacentral:lncRNA from 1 species
CCCGGCACCACCCCCUCCAAAUUCUACUCAGACUUCACCACCCUGGCCCCUGGGGUACAAGCGUGGUUCAGGCUAAGCCAGAGUCCCUCGCUGAGAUGUUACCUCUAAAGCCAUCAGCCAGGAGAGGAAAAGUGGCUUCCAUUGGUUACAAGGUUGUAAGGGGAGAACUAGGAGUGCCCCAAGGCCAUAUUCUGGCCUUAGUGGGCAGCCAGCUUGAGAGAAAGAAAGAGAAAACCAUGCUGAAGAAAGCCAGGCAGGGACAGAUGGACAGAUAGAGUUUAAGUCGCUGGCCUGCCAGGGCUCCCCAGGGCCAGCUCUAGUGUGGCACUUUCCUCAGAGCAGUUACAUGAGACAAUAUAGUCCCUCCCUUUUCCUUUUAGCUAGGGUGGGUCCUGUCCCCACCUGUGUAGGCAGAGGAGCCCUGAGCAAUGAGCACACUGCACUUAUUCAGCGGCAGCUGAAGUGAUUCAGGAGGAUGGCCUUGAAGGUUGUGGAGGAGAGAGAGCAUCCAGGGCGAAGACGACGACGUGAAAGAAGGCUCUAGGGGCUGGGCAUUGUGACUCACGCCUGUAAUCCCAGCAGUUUGGGAGGCUGAGAAUCAACACCUCCCUCUGUCACCCAGGCUGGAAGUGCAAUGGUGUGAUCAUAGCUCACUGCAACCUCAAACUCCUGGCCUCAAGCCAUCCGCCUACCUCAGCUCCCAAGUAGCUUGGGAUUACAGGUGUGAGCCACAUCACUGUGCUCCCCAUUGUUAAUAUGUUGAGACUCUUACUCUGGGAGGAGGAGUGGCAACUAAAGGACCCCAAAUCUCUACUUCUUGGGACCUGUAUUUGACACUCCAUCCAGCAGCUUCUGAAUUUCACACCUGAUAAAAGCAGGGGUUCUGGAUGUUCUCACGGCAACCCCAAUUUACACCCAAGAAGGGGCCUUCUGGGUGGCCACCUGGAUCCUGGGUGCUUUUCCCUGGGCAGUGUUUAUGCCAAAGGCCUGCUUGCAGCCUGGAUCUGCUGUGCCCUGAGCCCGCCCUCCUCCCCUCCGCGCCCCACCCCACCCCAGAAGAGCCUCUGCUCUUCCUGCCCUUCUCCUUCCUGCUGCGCCAAGGUGGAGCCCAGCUGCCUCCGCACCCAGCCCUCUGUGACUCAGUGGAAGCCAGUGGCCACUUCCCCCUCCCACCCACCCACACUCACAUUCCAACGGCCAGCUCACUUGCUUCUUGGCACUCAAACUGCACCCACCAGGCCUCUGACUAAAUAGUCAUCUCUUUACGGGACAAUUUAUGACCAGGGCCAGCCCAGUAUGGGAAGAGGUCACGUGUAUCUUACCCUCUGAGCACACUCCUUUUGCUCCACAGCUAAUGACUGACCUCUGUGGAUCUUUCCUUCUGGCCCCUGGCUGACCUGGGGCAUUUUAUUUAGGAGAACUAGAGUCUUAGCCUUUAGUGUUGUACCUAACACAGUGCUGACUCAAUGCAUCUUUGAAUAA